GGGUGCGAUCAUACCAGCACUAAUGCACCGGAUCCUGAAGUUAAGCGUGCUUGGGCGAGAGUAGUACUAGAAUGGGUGACCUCCUGGGAAGUCCCCGUGUUUGAUCCUC
rnacentral:rRNA from 1 species